UAACGAUAAACAACUAGCAUUUUUUUUGGUGACCACGGCGUCAUUUGUGAUCGGCAUACGGGGCUUUUCGUUUCAUCCCCUCGUUUAUGGUCGACCCUCAACUUUGACAGACAGCGGUUGUCAAAAGUGACAAUUUGUUUUUUUUUUUCUCGUUUUUUCCAUUCUUGUUUACGUUCAGGGCGUUCAGUAGGUUUUUGAUUAUUUUUACGUCGCGUUUGUAAAAAAUCAUCUAAGGACUCAAGCUCACCAACCGUCUGUAGAUUCUUUUGGUCUCGCAACGUUUCCGAGCAUGAACCAGCCACAACAACCGACAUCAUCCAUCAACCCACGACCCGUCUGUUAGAAAAUAGCAGUUUGAGAUCCGCUGGGAAUCGUUUUCCAUCGUAUAUAAGCCGGACGGAAUUCUUCCGGCAGUAGCUGGACAGUGCGCACUCGAUGGACAAGCGGUGGACAGCCGCAGAGACGAAGAUUACGUACGUUGCUGAUGAUGCUGGAAUUAAAUGCGAUGGUAUACUAUAGUGACCAGGAGGGAGCGCGACAUGAUUGCAGGCAGAAGCGGAACAGGAAGAGGAAGCGGACAGAUGCGGUGUUCCAAAUGCGAGUGCUGGAAGAGGAAAAUAUUUCGCGUAAUCGGCUGGCUGAGCUGGUGAUUAUGGUGUGGUAAUAAAGCAGUUGUAUUUGAA